rnacentral:rRNA from 1 species
GGGGAAUUUUGGACAAUGGGCGCAAGCCUGAUCCAGCCAUUCCGCGUGAGUGAAGAAGGCCUUCGGGUUGUAAAGCUCUUUCGGCCGGGAAGAAAUCGUGCGGGCUAAUAUCCUGCAUGGAUGACGGUACCGGAAGAAGAAGCACCGGCUAACUACGUGCCAGCAGCCGCGGUAAUACGUAGGGUGCGAGCGUUAAUCGGAAUUACUGGGCGUAAAGCGUGCGCAGGCGGCUUUGUAAGACAGGUGUGAAAUCCCCGGGCUUAACCUGGGAAUUGCGCUUGUGACUGCAAGGCUCGAGUUCGGCAGAGGGGGGUGGAAUUCCACGUGUAGCAGUGAAAUGCGUAGAGAUGUGGAGGAACACCGAUGGCGAAGGCAGCCCCCUGGGUCGUGACUGACGCUCAUGCACGAAAGCGUGGGGAGCAAAC